CACAUUGCCAUCACCAACAUCUACGUUCCAUCAUCACGAUCACUCAAGCAAGCCUUUUUAAACGAGCUCUCAUCCAUCUCACAACCCGAUGACACCCCCUGGAUCAUCGCCGAUGACUUCAACCUCAUCCGCUUCCCCUCUGACAAAAAUAACCUUGCGUUCCACCACACCGAAGCCAAUGCUUUUAACCAAACCUUAGAUGAUCUAGCUCUCAUUGAACUGCCCCUACUUGAUCGCAGGUUCACCUGGUCGAACAAUCGAGCCAACCCCACCCUAGAACGGCUAGAUCGUGUUUUCUUUAACCUUGCUUGGGCGGACACCUUCCCUAACACCUCGCUCUCCUCUCGCACACGCUUCACGUCCGAUCACGUCCCACUCCUCAUCCACAUCACCACCACCAUCCCACGCUCUAAUUUUUUCAAAUUUGAGCCGGGCUGGGCCAGUUUCCGGCCCUGCAGCGACUGUCGUGGUUCUAAGCCUGACAGUAGAGUGGGGGUAGGUAUUGAGAGGCAAGGUCCUAGCUAUGGAGAGGUUGUAAGCACAAGGGAUGUACGAGUUCAGGCCCUUCUCGGAGGAAGUAACAGCCCUACGUCUCGGAGCCCGGAGGCGGUAGAGUGGAUUAUGAGUAUAUGA
rnacentral:rRNA from 1 species